rnacentral:piRNA from 1 species
UAUUACCAGAAACACGAUUGUGCUUUGCA